GGGCCCCUCCUGCCCCCCCAAAAGCGGCCCCCCCCCCGGUCACUCACCGCUUGAAGUGCUCGAUGAUCUUCUCCUCGCGCACGUUCUCCGCACCACAUCCCACUUUGGCUGGGUCUCCAGGGCCAGGGACACUAAGGGUCUGCACUUCCUGGAGAAGAGCUCCGUGUCGCUCCAGCGCUCCUCUCCUCUCGCCAGCAGGAGCCGUACCAAUAAAAAAAUAUUACCU